rnacentral:rRNA from 1 species
UACAGAGGUGGCAAGCGUUGUUCGGAAUUACUGGGCGUAAAGGGCGAGUAGGUGGCCAUCUAAGUCAGACGUGAAAUCCCCCGGCUUAACCUGGGAACUGCGUCUGAUACUGGACGGCUUGAGUAUGGGAGAGGAACGUAGAAUUCCAGGUGUAGCGGUGAAAUGCGUAGAUAUCUGGAGGAAUACCGGUGGCGAAGGCGGCGUUCUGGCCUGUUCUUGACGCUGAGGCGCGAAAGCUAGGGUAGCAAACGGG